CCGGCCCUGGCCCCGGCCCCGGCCCCGCCCGGGGGGAAGGUGCCCACACGGCGGGGCACCCGCCCGCCGUUCCGCCAGCAGCUGCCGCCCCUCCCGGGCAACUGCAGCGCCUCCGCCCCGGCGGACCAGCCCGCGAGUCAGGGUGUGAUGCUUCCCCGACCACUUGGGUGCUGCCUUAAACCCGAACUCGGGGGGUUUCUGAGGGCAUCUGACCAGAAAUAGAAGUUACUGGGACAGGUAAAUCCUGUUCACACAGGCUACAGGUACCAUAAAACCACAGUCAGCAUUCGCUGACCAAGCUGAGCACCGUGGUGGUUCAAACCUUCAUUGAUCAGAGUUUCGACCAUUCCUGCCUUGGCCGGGAUGGGCAGACAAGGCAGCAACAGCUUCAACCCUCCCAUUUUAACUUGCCAUACUUGCCUACCAGAGUCCUGUUUUCUGACAAAUGCCUGAUUGUGAGCUCCAAGCAAAGCCUUCCCUAAAACUGGUUAUAGGGUUUCUCCCCCAUACUCAUAGUCUUGAGUAAUAGCACGGAGCAUACUUGGAGAAGAGAUCUGUGAUCUACACUGAACUUAGAGAAAUGUCUUUGAGACUUCUGGCUUCCCUUGGCUGGAAUGAUCCAAUGAUUUCAAGUAUGAUUAGGUGGGAUGGUCAGACACAUGGUGUGAUGGCAUAAGAGCAGUUUGCUGAGGAUAUAUUGCGUAAUAUUUAAUGGGUAUUCUUCAGAAUUUACCAGGUUCUUCCAUUUGCUUGUCUAAAGCAGUCUGCUGUAUAAAUGUAGCUACUUAAAUAAUGAAAGUGACAACAGAAAGCAAAGCAAGAAGAAAAAUGGUGGAUCUGCCUAGUAUCUGCAACACAAUCUAUGUUAAGAACAAGCAAAAUACAAAGGUUCCUAUUCUGCACUGCAUGGUGCCACACUAAUUUUGUUCGUGUUUGGCAGUAAAAUCUCAGCCCCCAAAAGUGGAUGUGUUUGUGGCAAAGAAAUCCCAUCUGCAAGACAGAAGUUUAUGGAAAGAACUUAAGAAUGCCCUAUUCCCCAGCACAGUGAAUUUCAGAAGGUGGCUUUUUUAUAUCAUGCAAUUUUAAAAAAUGUAAAGAAGAAAAAGAAGGAUCCCGGAAAAAGGUUGCACAGCAGAAUCCAAGUGAUAAGAAUUAGGGAGAAACAGGGAUGGAGAUGCUAUAUGAUUCUAAAACUAAAGUAACUGUACCCCCCUUGCAACCCUCAGAUUUUAAAAUUGUACUAGGUACUAAUGUCUUAUUUAUCCGAGGUGUUCAGUGCUAGGGAAUAUGAAGAGGACAGUGAUGUACAGAAGGCAUCUGGUGAAAAUUAGCAGUCAAUUGCUUUUAUUGCAACACGAAUUAUAUUGCUAUUGCAGGUGUUCUCUUUAUUCAAUCAGCUAAAGUAGCAAUCAACUGUAAAGAAAUUAUUCACAAGGCAGUGGCUCACCUUGCUUGUCUUUCUGAGACCUACCACCUGAGGUGGCACCCAGUGACCCCUAUGAAGGAGUACAGAAGAAAUGGGAUGUGCAGAAGCCAGCAGUGUGGAGUAGAGAGGACAAGCCAGUCAACAGCUGUGCCAAGAAGUGGGCACAGAUCUAAGCACGUCUAAGCUGGAAAUGUGCCUCUAGGCUGGAGGGAAAUGCCUUUUCAUCCCAAAUUCAGAGAUGUCUUUUAGGGGUUUUGCAUUAGUCAAGUAAGUUAACCCCUUCUCAUGAGACCAAAUAAAACCAAAGUCCUUAUACUAGGGCUUUUAAGGAGUUUUUGAAGAACAGUUAUGGAAACAUUUUUCAAUAAGAAGCAGUUUUUGUCAACAGCUAAGUAGAAAGGGACAAGGAAGAGGACAUAAGGACAUCACUCCUGCUUCCACGUGGCACCUGCCAUCACACAUGUAUGGAAAAAGGAAAAGACCAGCUUAUUUCUUACAAUACCUGAACUGUAUGCACAUGCAAGCUUUCUAAUUUGGGUUGUUUUGCUGUCAAAACAGUUCAACUUAUCCUGACAUUUGUACAGUCAUGAAAAUGAUAUAAAGAAACUUCAGUUAGACUUGAGUUUUAAUGGCCCAUACAUUUUUUUUUUUGUUUGUUUCCUGUGUGUUUCCCAUGAGCAUACUCAGAACUAUUUGUUUCAGCCUAUCUGGAUCAUUGAAGUACUGUCAUGGGAUUGCACAAAACAUCAAACUAACACCAUUGUUUGAAUAAUGAGAAUCAAAUCACCUGAGAAUGCAUUAGAUAUUGACACAGGUAUAUUUUCCUCAUAAACGUGUUAUUUUUUAAAAAAUAUUACAUCUUGUAGCUUUUUUAAAAGACUUAGAACACAUUUGUAAGAAAUGUGCAGGUGUGGUCACUGAAAGCCCAGAGACACACCAUUUUCUCCACGCUGAAAGAACUUGGCACUAGGAGAACUGCUCUAUGGCAUAGUAACUGGGGUUUGUCUCCCGGGGACUGUGACUUGAGGUCAAAUUGCUGCUCCAAACCAGGGGAAGAAAAGUUUGAACUGGGUCCCUCACAUGCUAGUUGAGUGUCUUACUCACGGAGCUGUACCACAGCAGGGAAUCUAACCUCUCCCUUGGGUGCAUAGGCCUUAUCAGCAAUGCUCACUUUUGGGUCCUUCCCACUGAUUUAUAUGUUGGCUGCGGAGGGGGGCUCAGGCAAGUGCUGUCUCCAGGCAGGGGCCUGGGCGGCACUCAAGGACGGAGCACAGCCCUGAGUUUGUAUGUGGAGGGGUCUGAAGGUCAAGCACUGGUGAUGUUACAGGAGACUAAACCAGUAUUUCUCUAACAGCCUGUUGCAACAAGUGAGUUUGGUAUUCAGAUCCAGGCUCAGUCUUGCUAAGCACAGUAUGCAUCCAAUGUGGUUGAGCUGCAUUCAGGCUACAGCUAAGCUAAAAGCAACAGUGCCUUAGCUUAGGAAAAUGUGUUGGUCAUGGAGCUUGGUAUGCUUACUUUGGAUCAAGAACUCCACUGUGGCAGGCGAUUCCUUGAACAUUUAAGCUCUUUUCAGUCUUUUUUGUACUAAUAGAAAAAUGCAAAAAUCCUUUGUAUGAACAUGUAUCUGAUUACCUGAACACCUAGACACCCCUUCAGACUACUAGGCCAGGCUUGGCACCUACUAAAGGCUCAGUUUUACAGGAUUCACAUCACACUCAACACUGCAAACCUGCAAUGUAUGAAAAGCUAUGAAUAUACAUUCUUUUCUGAUCAUAGCUGAUUUCAGAUUAACUCACCCCUGACGGUUUUCCAAAGUGCCAGUUGCCUAAUGUCACCCUCUCCUGAAAUCUCUUGGCAAUGCUCCUCAUGUGAGCACUGAGUUACAGCAAUGGAUGAUAUGAGUGCUCCUUGUCUGCUCCUGUCUUUGGUAGCUGGCUGAGCUACAAUCACCAUGGAAGUUAUCAUUAGUCACUGAAAAUGAGAACACUCACUGAACUAUUUACAGAGUAAAAACCCCAAGUACCACAAAGAGAUGCCUUUUCCUUGGUACAGUUUCAAACCCCAGUGAAACCCUGUGCGGAAGUACUAGGCUAGUCAGUACACGAUGAAAACAGAGAAUCCAGAGUAUUCCUUUUAAAAGUGUGGAUUGCUUUCUUAUGGCUAAAAACAAUUAUUUCAACAUGGCUGAAAGCAAUCAUUUCAACUCUUACUGAAUGAUUAUUCCAAGUUACAUGACUAGAAUGAUACAGCACAAAGCUGAUUAGUUUUUUCAUGUACUGGUUACUUUUUGAGGAGUUACUUGUUUUAUAAAGGAAAGUACAUCAUUCCACAAACAAGUCAUAGUUUAUAAACAGUACCACAGGCAGCACAGAAAGUUCUGCUGAACUAUCACAUGACAAAUCAUGCAAAUCCCCCUGCAGAGCUGAGUGAACACCUCUCCCGGAUUUCUGGUUUGCACUUGCUUCUGCUUUUGUGAAAAGAGAGCAAAUUUUCCCUCGGGGAACACAUUUGCAGGAAGGGAUAGCAGCAACUAAAGAAAUACAGCAUGUAUAACAAUUGACAUACUGUAAUAAAAGGCAAAUAAAAGUUACAUUGUUUGAAAAAAAAUGAAAUGCUGAAAUGAGAUUAUAUAUUUUUUGAUACAAUAAAUCUUUAACAUCUUUCAUUUCUCAAUAUUUUUAACUGUCCACAGACUAAAUCAUGACUCUUGUCUUACAUUAGAGGGAUUGCUCAUAGAUAUAGAAAGUAUAAACCAAAAAGAAAGAAAGAAAAAAAACAAAAUCAAAAAAACAUGAACUUAGGGGAGAGAUAAAGAAAAUAGGGGCAAAAAAGUAAAUGAUUCAGAUGUUUUGAAAUCAAUGAACAAAUGUAUAUACAAGUACUUUAGAGGUAGUACAGAAGGUAAAAUCUCAAGUACAGUGCACUUGGUGUUUUUUAGGGUCAUUGCUGGGGGCUAGAACUCACUGAAGUUUGGGGUUUUUUUAAAUAUUGCACUUACUGUGAAAUUUUGAGGAAAAAAAGCAACAGUGCUAACUGAAAUGUCACUGUAGAAUAGACUUUAAAGAAGCUGUAUGAGGAAACUGAUGAAUUAUUAAAUCAUUACAUUAGAACAUCUUUUUAUAAUGUAUAUAAAUUAGUUAAGUAAUUAAAAAAAAAAAAGAUAUUCAGUAAAAUAGAUAUGUACCUCUUGUAGUGCCUGCAAUUGUUCCUAAUGUAUCUAGCUCUAACACAACAGCAAAAUUAUGUCCAGAGGGAUUUUUCUUUCUGGUAUUAUUGGUCAUUUGACUUGAUAAAAUAACAUGCCAAGAAAAUUGAUAGUUAUAGUCAAGGGGUUUGCUUUGGUCUCAUAAGGAUGUAAAUAAUAUAUUGCCUAAAGGGUGCCCAAUACCUUACACAUGAAAGGAUAAAGCUUAAACUACUCCUGGUUCUUUGAUCUUCACAGGUUUAAUGCUUUGGAGUUUGGUUUGAUUUUUGUUUUUUCAUGGUAAGAGAGUAUACUAGCCACUGCCAGAAGUCUCUGUUACUGCUAAAAAUGCUCACAGUAGCACCCAGACCUAAGCAGGAAAUGGUUUGGAGUAUGAAAAAUUGGCAUCCCAAAUAGGGAGGAAAAGACAAUAACCCAUUCUUGUGGAUUGCAAUCCUUCCCUCCUUUUUCCUCCCUAAAAAAAAAUCAGAGAUGGAGCAAUUACGAACAUUCCAUUUAGACCAUCUUUAAUUAUUUAGUUUUACUUUUACUAUUUCACUGUAAGUUUACUAGCAUUAAUUCCAGUGUUUGCAAUUAAAAUCAUAAUAAAGCCAAAUCUUGCAUUUUAUAAUUUAAAAAUAUCAUAGAGAAACUCUGACAAUUUAAGCACUUUUGUCCCUUAUAUGUCUUGAGUUGAAACAUUUGCUAGGACUAACUCUCUUAGAUGAGCAAUUUAUAUUCAAUGAAUUGACAAUUAACAAUUUAAUCUAUGACCUUGACCUUUAAAAUAAUGUUCUCAGCAGCUCUAGUCAGAGUAUGACCUGGCACAGGAGUGCUAGGUCCUCCACCUCUUGCAGUCUGAUUUCUCAGAAGAUGAUGAACCUUCAAGGAACACAGUCACAGACACAGACACUACUUGUUUUUCUCAAUACAUUUUUCUAAAUCUUUGUUUUCUUCAGCAACAUAAACAAUACUCUUUUUUUUUUUCUGAAGGUAGGUGCCUUAGCACCACGUAGCAGUGCAGAAUACGGGUGGAAAGAAUUGCAUCUAGUUCAGUCAGCAAAAAAAUUAAGGGUGCCUCAAAAUUACAGUUCAAAACACAGCACUUUAAGUGGAUGGUGUGCAAAGGCUGAUCAGCUGCAUGGCAGAAGCUGUCUGAAGAAUGUCAACAUAGGGAUAUGAACAAGCUGUAUUAAGUAAAUUUGUAAGAAAGGGUGCAUAUUUAAUUUUUUUUUUGUAACACUCAUUUUCUCUCUUUGCUCCUGUACUGCUUUCUCUGUAGCUUUGACUUGGGGCUAGAGCUUAGAGGAGAAAAAAGGAAAGGGAAGGAUAUUUUAGCUGAAGAUCUUUGAGUUUGGGUCAAUGGCUGCACUACCUUGCAUUAUGUCUGCAUGUUCCCAGAUAUGGAUUCUCAGGACAGUCUGUCAGGGACUGACACCAAUUCUGUUCCAGAGGGUGUCUGGAAGAGUUUGUACUGAUGGGGUUCUAAUAUGCUCAAAUCCUGUUUAUUGCAAUAGCUAAAGCAAACUUUUGAUCAGAAGACCAUUCUGGAUAUUAAUAUUGCUCAAAGCCCCCAUCUACCAAGCUGAACUGCUGUCUAGGGAGGUUUUCUACUUGCUAGAGGCUUAGUGACAUUGUGGAGACACUGAUGUGGCUUGUCCAGUCCUCAGAAUAUUGACCUCUGCUGCUCUUCCAGGUGGACACCAAUGCUGAUACCAGGGGAGACAUGGGGUGUAUUGAGCAUGUCUACAUGACUGAGGGUGAGAGCAUGAGGGCCAAAUGGUUUUGUCUUUGAUCCUACUGGUUAGGGCAAAGGACUUUACAAGGAGUGAGUGAAUCCUUUGGAUCAACAAGUACUGUGCAGCUCGUGUCAAUGACAGGGAUUAUUUUUUUAUGACCAUGGGUCCUUUGUGAGAAUUAAAGAUUGUUGGGGAAGAGGUGGGAUCCCACCUGACUAGGCAGGCCAGAAACAUCUUUGACAACAGGCUGGCCUACUUGGUAAAAAGAUAGGAAAAUUGGAAAGAUGGAGGAAGGAAAUGGAAACCCAUAAUCAAGUGAGGGGCUGGGCUGGGCUGACAAGAAAAAGAUGUAGCAUGAACAGGAGAGACCUUGAAACCAGCAGUGCAGGACUGAAGGGGACCUAAAGCAUAUACACUCAAAUAAGGAAGUGCUAAGAGGACAACAUUAUAAGGGAAACUCUCACACUUUUCCUGGGAAAAGGCCUGUCUAGGGACCUUCUUAGAGGAAUCCGAUAGGAGAUGGACCUGAGGAGAAGAGAGUUCCAGGCGAGUUUACUAAUUUUUCAAGGACCACCUCCUCCAAGCUCAAGAACAGUCCAUACUGAUUUGCAGAAAGCCAAACAGAAGUGGCAGGAGGUCUUCACAGACAGACAAUGAGAUCCUGAUAAAACACUCUCAUGUAAAGGAAGCAUCACAAGAGGUGGGAAUAGGGACAGGUGACCUGUGAGGAAUAUAGAGAUGCUGUCUGGGCAUGCAGGAAUAGCAUUAGAAAAGACAAAGCCUACCAGGACUUGAAUUGGUUAAGGGACAUGAAAGGCCACCAGAAGGGUUUCUACAAGUGUCUCUGCAGCAACGGCCCUAUGUUGAAUGGAACCAGGCAACUGUAACAAAUUACACAAAAAUGGCCAAGAUACGCAAUGCCGCCUCUGCCUCAAUUUCACAGAUAAGAUUUACCUUCUGGAAUUGUAGGUCCCUGAAAACAGGGUGAAAAUUUGGAACAAGGAAGACUUACCUUGGUGGGGGAGGAUCAGGUUAGGGAACAUUCAAACCAACCACACACGCAGAAGUCCAUGGCUGACAGAGGCAGCUAUGAGUGCUGAGGGAGAAGCUAAUGUCAUUGCGAGGCCACUCUCAAUUGUCUCUGAAGGAUGUUGGCAAUUAGGGGAGGUUACAGAGGACUGGAAGAAAGCAAAUGUCACCCUUCAGGAAGGGCAAGGAGGAAUAUGCAGGGAACUAUAGGCUGGUCAGCCUCACCUUGAUCCCUAAAGAAGCUGAUGGAACAACUUGUCCUGGGAACCGCUUCCAAACACAUGCAAGACAAAAAGGUGACUGGAAGUAGUCAGCAUGGAUUUACAAAGGGCAGAUUGUACCUCACCCUACCAGUAGCCUUCUACAAUGAAAUGACUGGCGUGGAGGAGGAAGGGACAGCAGUGGAUGUUUAUUUUUGCUUAUGUUGAAAGCACACUUUCAACACUGUACCCCAUAACAUCCUCAUAGACAAACUGAUGAUUAAAUGGUGAGGUGGACUGAAAACUGGCAGUAUAACUGGGCCCAGAGGGUUGUGAUCAGCAGCAAGAAGUCCAUCUGGAGGUCGGUUACUGGUAGUGUACCCCAGGGGUCAACACUGGGGCCAAUACUGUUUAACAUCUUCAUUAAUGACCUGCGUGGUAGGACAGCAUGCAUUCUCAGUGAGUUUUCAAAACUUGAUCCAACACUGGGGUAUACAAGACAUUUGAACUGCCUUGAGAGGCUGGGUAAAUGGGUUGACAGGAACCUCAUGGAAUUCAACCAAGGGAGAUUUAAAGUCCUGCCUCUGAGGAGGAACAACUCCAGGCACCAGGACAACCUGGGGAGUGAUAGGCUACAAAACAGCUUGGCAGAAAAGGACUUGGGGGUCAAUACCAAGUUGACCAUGAGACAGCAAUGUGCCCUUGCAGCAAAGAAAGCCAACAGCCUCCUGGGUUGCACAGGUCGAGGGAGGUGUUCCUUCCUCUCCGGUCCACUCUGGUGAGAUAUGUCUAGAGUGCUGAGUCCAGUCCUGGGAUCUCCAGUAAGACAUGGACAUACAUAUCAUGUCUGGAAAAGAGCUGUUCUGGUUAAGGAAGUGGGGUAUUUCUCAUAUGAGGAGAGGCUGAGAGAGCCGGGACUAUUUAGUCUUGAGAAGAGAAGGCUCAGGGAAAUUUUAUCAAUAUUUAUGAACACCUGCUCAGGAGGUAGUAAAGAAGACAGAGCCAGACUCUUCUCAGUGGUGCCCAGUGAAAAGACAAAGGGCAAUGGAUACAAAUUAAAAUUUAGUAAAUUUCAUUUAAACAUAUGAAAAAACUACUUCACUCUGAGAGUGAUCAAACACUGGCAUAGGAUGCCAGUUUGAAGCCUUGGAGAUAUUCAAACCCAAUUCAGUACAGGCCUCAGUAACCUGCUCUAGCUGUUCCUGCUUUGAGCAGGGAUUUGGACUAGAUGAUUGUCAGAGGUGCCUUCCAGUCUCAGCCAUUCUGUGAUUCUAUGAUGUUUACAUAAGAGCCUUGUUGACAUUUGAUGUUCAAGGAUAUGAGAUUGAAAAGCUGCAAAAAACCUCUUGGCUAAAUUUUUCAUAAGGAAAAAUGCAAUGUAAUACCAUUAGUUUAAAACUACCAGAACAGUAGCACAACAUGUCUGACAUACACAAUGCUCACAUGUCUGAUUAAUUUGAAAGUGUUCAUGAAGAAGGCAAAUCCAAAUUAUUCUCUGUAGUUUGCAUGACAGAUUCGCAUGGGGAAAGAAAGCAUUCAUACCUGGGGAAUUGGAAGUUGACUAUAUCCUCUGUUGCUUAUUAGAUCUUUUUCUAGAAAGCCAUGCUGAGUCCCAGUUAUAAAUAUAGCAUUUUAGUGUUCUGCAGAAGAGUAGACUGCUUCUGCAUCAUUUAAUCUUAUAAUCUCUAUGCAUUUCAAAUAAUAUCUGCAGCCUAAUUUAGGCUGUUUUCUUAUAAAAUAUAACAGUAUUUAAAAGGUGAUAGUACUGAUAAAACUGUUUUGGCUUUUUUGCUUGUCAUUCUGUUUUGUUGCUUUAUUUUGAUGCUUUUACUUUUCAUCUUUCUAUGUCUCCCAUUGCAAUAAGCAGGCCUGGCAUUCUUAAGAACUCUCUGGUAUUGCUACCUCAUCUGAAAAAGGAUGAAGGGCAGAAACUAGGCAGAAAAAUAAAAGGAAGUUGCAAAGGAUGGGAGAAGAGCAAAGGAGAAGAAGUUUGGUGAGAGUUGUGGAAUUCGCUAAGUGAAGGAACCAAAGCCUUUAAAAAUAAGGGGUGGAAUUAAUUCCACCUCACUUCAGAUGUUCUCAACUUGAAUCUCUCUACUGGGUUGCCUUAAUAGUGUAGAAAGAUAAGCCCUUGUACUGUGUAAUUCACCUGGGCUGUUUCAGUUGUCUGCUUGAAGACGGGAGGACUUGCAUCCUAGAAAUACCUCUUUCUGUCUACUGACAAUACAAGGCCUAGAGGAUGAUCUCAAAUAUAAAUGUGUGCAUUUACUGAAUGAACGUAAAUUCUCUAGUAAUAUUUUCAGCACCUAAAGUGAAGAAAAGGAAGCUGAACAUCAGAAGCAGUCUGGGCAGCUUGUACCUGACAAAGUGGAGUGUCCUAGAGCACAUGGAACAAAAAUUACCCAGUAUAUUCAUUUUGAAAGUUUCAUGCUGGUUUUCCUUUCUGUUUUCUCCAGUGGUGUCUGGGUAUGAAAUGCUGAGAGUAUACAUAGCAUCAGGUUGUUUGGCUUGGGUUUAGGUCUGUAAGGGUAACAUCUCCCAAGUUCACCUGGCUGCCUGAGCCCCUUCUUCCCCAGAUACUCUGGAAUUACUUGAUGCAGCUUGAUGAUGGUUGCAAAAUUCCAGAUAUGAGAAGAUAUGCAAAUCUUAUCUGAUGUGUUUCUCCUUUCCAUUAGCGCAGGUCUGUUGUUUCUUAGUAUUAUUACAAAUGCCAGAAGAACAAGAAAGAUGGUUAAGAUUCCUGGGAGGUCUAGAUGACAGCCUAGAACUGCUGUGCUCAAAAGGAAUAAUUAAUAGUGGAUAAAAUAACAAGGAACUCAAAAGAAGUGGUGAAAAGUGCCAUUCUGCAAAAUCCCUGAAGGGAUUCUGAAAAAAAUUUUCCCCCAUGUCAAAGACCCAGAGUAGCAUGGCUCUAUGGGAAAGGGUGUUCAGGACCUGAAAAAUCUCUCAAUCUAAAGCCACAGAGAUGUUUGAGGGUCAGUCUGGACUGGAUCGCCUACCAGGCACAUCAGGAAGACAGUGAAAGGAUUCAGCUCAAGGCAAAAACAUAACUUGCAUUUUUGGGUUUUCUAGAGGAGGAAAAGCUUUAUAUCCACAUGGGAAAGCGCUUUCAGUGCUGGAAAUCACAUUGCAAGUGGUCUGUACAAAUGAUCCUUCCUUAAAAGAGAAAACUUAGCAAGAUUGUAAUGGCUAAGGUUCCUCAGUAGGCCUAGCGAAGGUCUGAUCCUGUGUGAACAUUGGGAAAACCCCUCCUUGGCAGGGAGAAGUAGAAAGGAAUAUUGCUUCAUCUCAGCCAAGAACUGCAGAGCAGAUGUUUUGCUAUCCUUAUCCAGACAAAAAGCACCAUCAAAAUGAGUGCAAUCAGGAGAAUUUGGAGCUCAGAAAAGGUGCCAGACUGACAACACUGGAAACUCAGUCUCCAUUUAUCUGCAGGCUGCUGGAUUUUCAUAGAAUCAUAGAAUGGCUUGGGUUGGAAGGGACCUUAAGGACUGACUAGUUUCAACUCCCCCUGCCACAGGAUGCCAUACACAACAUACAAGUCACUCAGUCUCAUUCAACCUGGCCUUGAAAACUUGCAGGGAUGG